AGUGAACGCUGGCGGCAUGCCUUACACAUGCAAGUCGAACGGCAGCGCGGGGCAACCUGGCGGCGAGUGGCGAACGGGUGAGUAAAAUAUCGGAACAUACCCUAGAGUGGGGGAUAACGUAGCGAAAGUUACGCUAAUACCGCAUACGCACUAAGGUGGAAAGUGGGGGAUCUUCGGACCUCAUGCUCAUGGAGUGGCCGAUAUCUGAUUAGCUAGUUGGUGAGGUAAAGGCUCACCAAGGCAACGAUCAGUAGCUGGUUUGAGAGAACGACCAGCCACACUGGAACUGAGACACGGUCCAGACUCCUACGGGAAGCAGCAGUGGGGAAUUUUGGACAAUGGGGGCAACCCUGAUCCAGCAAUGCCGCGUGAGUGAAGAA
rnacentral:rRNA from 1 species